UGACGACCAGUAAUCAUGCCCUGAACUUCCUUGCCUCAUGUGGACACAAAAAACUAUUUUGAUGCUCUCCCCACAUUUUAAAGUGACUGGAUGUGCUGCUGACUGGGGCCAGACUGAGAGCACUGGCAACCGCCGCCCUGUGUGCAACUGCGGCUGAGGCAGUGUCUGAAACCUCAGAAUGGUAGAAUCCACUUCAUCUGCACUCAGAUCAACAUCAUACCCACUUAACUGGGGCAACUGCCAGGAAACAGAUGCAGAGCAGUGCGUUUCAACACCUAAAGACAUGGACUCCAUGAACGCCUACUCUGUUUGGCAGACAUUUCCACUGUUGUUUGCAAGACUAGUUACAGUAGUUAGGCUUGACUCAUGACUUUGGAACCCUUGGGCUUGGCAGUACUGGACAUUCUCCAAACAUUUGCAUGAGCAGAAAAUCCGUUCAUCCAAACAUCAAGGGAUCCAAAACUGCAGCUCCGGCUUAGAAGAAAUGUUUGCAAAUACUGUUGCAUAGCACUCAACAGGUGCUACUAAUCAUGAGAGUUCCUGCUGGCCCUCCCAUGCAGCCCAGGUUUCAAGCUAGAAGGUCGCAAGAUCCUUAGUAAACACUGAGCCAGUGUCGCUAUUGCAGUCACCCACUCACAGGAAAAAAACUUUAUACACAUUAAGAGUCUGAUUGUGAACAAUUCAUGACAAGGACUGUGCUUCCAUAUGUGUUUGUGCAGUGCUUGGGUAUCCCAAAGGGCCCCUUGCCAUGGAGUGAGACCGCUCGGUGCUACUAUAAAGGUUAUAGACUGUAUUUUUUUGUUUUGUUUCAUUUUUAAC